CUCCUGUUGCCCUCAGGGUCAAAGUUGACCCAUUUUCAAAAUGUUUCUAAAUCAGACAUUUGGGUUUCCAUCAACCAAAAUUGCAAAAAAUAACGUGGAUGGUUCCAUACAACGCUCCUCACAAGUUAAAUAAAUGAUCCGUU